rnacentral:rRNA from 1 species
UUUGCGUCGAAGGUAUACCGGUAAGGAGUGCUGGAGCGAAUAGAAGUGAGCAUGCAGGCAUGAGUAGCGAUAAUUAAUGUGAGAAUCAUUAACGCCGUAAACCCAAGGUUUCCUACGCGAUGCUCGUCAUCGUAGGGUUAGUCGGGUCCUAAGUCGAGUCCGAAAGGGGUAGACGAUGGCAAAUUGGUUAAUAUUCCAAUACCAACAUUAGUGUGCGAUGGAAGGACGCUUAGGGCUAAGGGGGCUAGCGGAUGGAAGUGCUAGUCUAAGGUCGUAGGAGGUUAUACAGGCAAAUCCGUAUAACAAUACUCCGAGAACUGAAAGGCUUUUUGAAGUCUUCGGAUGGAUAGAAGAACCCCUGAUGCCAUCGAGCCAAGAAAAGUUUCUAAGUUUAGCUAAUGUUGCCCGUACCGUAAACCGACACAGGUGGGUGGGAUGAGUAUUCUAAGGCGCGUGGAAGAACUCUCUUUAAGGAACUCUGCAAAAUAGCACCGUAUCUUCGGUAUAAGGUGUGGUUAGCUUUGUAUUAGGAUUUACUCCGAAAGCAAGGAAACUUACAACAAAGAGUCCCUCCCGACUGUUUACCAAAAACACAGCACUCUGCUAACUCGUAAGAGGAUGUAUAGGGUGUGACGCCUGCCCGGUGCUCGAAGGUUAAUUGAUGGGGUUAGCAUUAGCGAAGCUCUUGAUCGAAGCCCGAGUAAACGGCGGCCGUAACUAUAACGGUCCUAAGGUAGCGAAAUUCCUUGUCGGUUAAAUACCGACCUGCAUGAAUGGCGUAACGAGAUGGGAGCUGUCUCAAAGAGGGAUCCAGUGAAAUUGUAGUGGAGGUGAAAAUUCCUCCUACCCGCGGCAAGACGGAAAGACCCCGUGGACCUUUACUACAGCUUGACACUGCUAUUUGGAUAAGAAUGUGCAGGAUAGGUGGGAGGCUUUGAGUAUAUGACGCCAGUUGUAUAUGAGCCAUUGUUGAGAUACCACUCUUUCUUAUUUGGGUAGCUAACCAGCUUGAGUUAUCCUCAAGUGGGACAAUGUCUGGUGGGUAGUUUGACUGGGGCGGUCGCCUCCCAAAUAAUAACGGAGGCUUACAAAGGUUGGCUCAGAACGGUUGGAAAUCGUUCGUAGAGUAUAAAGGUAUAAGCCAGCUUAACUGCAAGACAUACAAGUCAAGCAGAGACGAAAGUCGGUCUUAGUGAUCCGGUGGUUCUGUGUGGAAGGGCCAUCGCUCAAAGGAUAAAAGGUACCCCGGGGAUAACAGGCUGAUCUCCCCCAAGAGCUCACAUCGACGGGGAGGUUUGGCACCUCGAUGUCGGCUCAUCGCAUCCUGGGGCUGGAGCAGGUCCCAAGGGUAUGGCUGUUCGCCAUUUAAAGCGGUACGCGAGCUGGGUUCAGAACGUCGUGAGACAGUUCGGUCCCUAUCUGCCGUGGGCGUAAGAAGAUUGAAGAGAUUUGACCCUAGUACGAGAGGACCGGGUUGAACAAACCACUGGUGUAGCUGUUGUUCUGCCAAGAGCAUCGCAGCGUAGCUAAGUUUGGAAAGGAUAAACGCUGAAAGCAUCUAAGCGUGAAGCCAACUCUAAGAUGAAUCUUCUCUAAGCUCUCUAGAAGACUACUAGUUUGAUAGGCUGGGUGUGUAAUGGAUGAAAGUCCUUUAGCUGACCAGUACUAAUAGAGCGUUUGGCUUAUCUUUAAUAAAGCAU